ACACACACACACACACACACACACACACACACAACACACACACACACACACACACACACACACACACACCAUAUCUUUCCCUCUCUCUCUUUCUUUCUCUGAUGAUGGAAGAGAACCCUAUAUUAUCAAUGAGGUCCUUUAACUCCAGAGAUAGGAAACUAUCCUUGAACUCUUGCGAUAGGAAACUAUACAAUUGAUUCAAAAACAACUUUCAAAACAAAAACAACUUUAAGCCCAAGAGUCAGUCAACUGGACAUCUAAGUAGUUGGUUUUUCUGUCUUUCUACCUCAGUCAAGACCCUCCCUGAGGUAUUGGAGUGUCUGGGGGUACAUUCUAUUUCCCAGAACUUCUGCCCUCCCUGAGGUAUUGGAGUGUCUGGGGGUACAUUCUAUUUCCCAGAACUUCUGCCCUCCCUGAGGUAUUGGAGUGUCUGGGGGUACAUUCUAUUUCCCAGAACUUCUGCCCUCCCUGAGGUAUUGGAGUGUCUGGGGGUACAUUCUAUUUCCCAGAACUUCUGCCCUCCCUGAGGUAUUGGAGUGUCUGGGGGUACAUUCUAUUUCCCAGAACUUCUGCCCUCCCUGAGGUAUUGGAGUGUCUGGGGGUACAUUCUAUUUCCCAGAACUUCUGCCCUCCCUGAGGUAUUGGAGUGUCUGGGG